GUCCUGAGCACAAGUCCACAUGGCUGAUCCUGUUACAAAGAAUCUCAAUAGACUGUCUUCACUAAAGACAGAAGUCUAAUUUAUAUGAGCUCAGGCUCUCCCACCUUCUCUGGAAAAUAGUGUAGGUUCUCCCCAUCUUUAUUCAUUCUUGUGAUUUUUUUUUAGAGGGGAAGUAGAACUUCACACACCAUGUCUGACUGUGCUGAAACUCUCCAAAUCAAUCAGAUGAAGGGCCUCUGUCCACUUCUCGUGAGGUCUGUGCUCUUCGCCCAGAUACGUGAUGGUCCCAUCCCUGUGUCUGGACACGGAGACCAGUCAGGCACCUGGUGUCCAUGCCUGCAGACAGAAAUAAACAAGAAGCCCGAAUGGUGAGGCCUGUGGUCCCUGUGGGUCCAGUUAACUCACCCACACUCUCCCCUUCCUCUUAUUUCACAGGUAACACGGCAGCUUCUUGGCUGGAUGAUGCAUGCAGAGCGCUCUGGUUACAGGCUCAGGGUGUCAGCUUCGGUCCCUCCCUCCUGUUCCGUGCAGGGAGGCGUUCUGUUCUCCCCAUAUGGUGCAGAGCGGGGCAUCACGCACUUGGCCCUAGAAGUGAUGGCUUUGCUGCUUGCUCUCAACGUCUGGGAAGCCAUGGCACCGAGUCCAGAGCUUUGGCAGAGAGCUGGCCUGAGUCUCUUGCAGCAGCAGGAUGGGCCCCAGGAGGUAGAGGUGAAUCAUGGGACCCAGGAGGGGAAACUGUACUUGCUAAUUUUAAAAUCCCUGCUUGAUACAUUGGUGACGCUGUUUUAUUAUUUUCCUGGGAAAAUGCACCAAAUAGAGGAAAUGGCAGUGACACAGAAAAAUAUUUCCGAGCUUAGAGUGUCAUUAUUAAUCCCAUGAUUUCCAGAUGGAAUUCAUUCACUUGGAGAAGCAGAGACUACUUGGCAGAAAGGACCACAUGCAAAAUCCUUGCAGCAGCCUGAGAUCAAUGUCUACUCAAACAAAGGAUGCAUGAGGAAGCUGGGUUUCAUGGCUGCUUUUAGUCAUCGAGGCCCUGAGGACCAAUAAGUGAUCAAACUUGGCCAUUUAGAGAAUUUUUUCUCCACAAGGUAAAUAGAUGUCCAAGUACAACUGCUCACAUGUAACGAGGAGAAGUCAGAAUUCUAUUCUCCUAUUUUAUGUUUUUUAAAGUGGUGAUUCUUUCACCUGAUGGAAAACACUAAACACAGAUUAACACUACCGACAAAGGGCUGCCUGUCAAGUGAGACUCAGCUUUGGGGCCAGCAAGACUGAAUCGAGGGCUUCCCGGUGGCACUAGUGGUAAAGAACCCGUCUGCCAAUGCAGGUCAGACAUAAGACAGGCUGGCCUGAUCCCUGGGUCGGGAAGAAACCCUGGAGAAGGGCAUGGCAACCCACUCCAGUAUUCUUGCUGGGAGAAUCCCAUGGACAGAGGAGCCUGGCAGGCUACCAUAGGGUCAUACAGAGUUGGGCACAACUGAAGCAGCUUAGCAUGGCACCCACGGCAAGACUGAAUCGAUGUGAAAGUCCUGAAGGGUCUGCUGGCAGUGUCCCAGAUGGCAGGCAGCCAUGCUCCCCAGACUCCCUGAGGAAGUCAACCUGGCUCCCUGAGCCCCUCUCUGCUCUGACAUGAUGAUCCCCUGGGUAGGAUGUUGGAGAAAUAAAAGCAGGAGGUUUGCUGUAAUCUUUUUUACA
ensembl:lncRNA